GCCCUUGGUGGCUCAGCUGGACAGAGCAUCUGCCUAGUAAACAGGAGAUCACGGGUUCGAGUCCCGGUCGGGGCG